AAGUAGAUAAGGGCGCAUGGGGGAUGCCUAGGCUCUCAGAGGCGAUGAAGGACGUGAUAAGCUGCGAAAAGCUGCGGGGAUUGGCAAAUACGAAUUAAUCCGCAGAUAUCCGAAUGGGACAACCCAGCUAGUUGAAGACUAGUUAUCCAGCAAUGGAGGCAAACCCGGGGAACUGAAACAUCUAAGUACCCGGAGGAAGAGAAAACAAUAGUGAUUCCCUGAGUAGUGGCGAGCGAAAAGGGAUUAGCCCAAACCUUGACUGUUACGGCAGUUGAGGGGUUGUAGGACUGAGACAUCUGAUAUAAACAGAACGAGAAUUAUCUGGGAAGGUAAGCCAAAGAGGGUGAGAGCCCCGUAUUGGUAAUGUUUAUUGAAGUAUCAGUAUCCUGAGUAGGGCGGAACAGGAGAAAUUCCGUCUGAACCAGCCGGCACCAUCCGGUAAGGCUAAAUACUCCUGAGAGACCGAUAGUGGACAAGUACCGUGAGGGAAAGGUGAAAAGUACCCUGA
rnacentral:rRNA from 1 species